rnacentral:lncRNA from 1 species
CACGGCACUGCAUGGCACAGCGUGGUGCAGCAGGGUGCAGCACGGCACGGUGCAGCGCGGCGUCGCAGGGUGCAGCCCCAUGCAGCGCGGCACGUUGCAGGGCACUGCAGGGCACAUCGUGGUGCAGUGCCCCAGUGCCCUGGUGCUGUGCUGCUGUGCCGUAACGGCGUGGCAGUGACAUGUGGCACGGCACGGUGCAGCACGGCACGGCACGGCACGGCGCGGCACGGCACGGCACGGCACAGUGCAGCACGGCACGGCAUGGCGCAGUGCGGCGCGGCACGGCACAUUUCUGGGGGUGGCCGGCCUGGUCCAGGCAGCCAAAGCUGCAUCCAGGCAGCGCCAUGGGGCAGCGCUGUGGGGCAGCGCCUGGUAUUUGGGCACCCACAGACCCCUGCAGCCCACAGUGGGGUGCCCUGGGAGGUACUGGGAGCACUGGGAGCCCAGCACUGGGAGCACUGCGUGCCACGGCACUGGGGCCACUGGGAGGCCUGGCACUAGGGCCACUGGGAGCACUGGGAGCCCCCAUACUGGGGCCACUGGGAACCUGUUGCGUAGAACACUGGGAGCCAUGGCACUGAGGCCACUGGGAGCCUGGCUCUGGAGGGACUGGGAGCACUGGGAGCACUGGGAGCCCGGCACUGGGGGCACUGGGACGGGAUUUCCCGUUCCUCCCGGCCCCGCGCUCCCUCCCCGGCUUCUUCCUUCCUUCCUUCCCCGCGGCUCCGCUGGGGCCAGCGCCCGGCCCCGGCCCUGCCCCACCUGGGGGGGGCGUGUGGGGCAGCGCCAUGGGGCAGCACUAUGGGGCAGUGUGUCCAUGGGGCAGCACCAUGGGGCAGUGCUAUGGGGCAGCGCUAUGGGGCAGUGUGGCUAUGGGGCAGUGCCAUGGGGCAGUGUGGCUAUGGGGCAGUGCCGUGGGGCCAUGGGGUAGUGCUAUGGGGCAGUGCCAUGGGGCAGUGCUAUGGGGCAGUGUGGCUAUGGGGCAGUGCUAUGGGGCAGUGCCAUGGGGCAGCGCUAUGGGGCAGUGUGGCUAUGGGGCAGCGCCGUGGGGCAGUGCCAUGGGGCAGCGCUAUGGGGCGGUGUGGCUAUGGGGCAGUGCCGUGGGGCCAUGGGGUAGUGCUAUGGGGCAGUGCCAUGGGGCAGUGCUAUGGGGCAGUGUGGCUAUGGGGCAGUGCUAUGGGGCAGCGCCAUGGGGCAGCGCUAUGGGGCAGCGUGGCUAUGGGGCAGCGCCAUGGGGCAGUGCCGUGGGGCCGUGGGGCCGUGGGGCCGUGCCCCCCGGGGCCGUGGGGCGGCGGGCGGCGUUGCUGCGCGACGCUGUUUGUCGUGGGGCUGAGUCACGGCCGUGACUCACCGGCAGCACCGGGCUGGCAGGCGCCCACGGCCGCCCCACGGCAGCACCGGGGUGGGGCACGGCCCCCCCCGGGCCCCCCCCAU